rfam:Triticum aestivum genome assembly, contig: Triticum_aestivum_CS42_TGACv1_scaffold_094197_2AL
CAAGUACUCCCUCCAUCCGGAAAUACUUGUCAUGAAAAUGGAUAAAAAGGGGUGUAUCUAAAACUAAAAUACAUCUAGAUGCAUCCUCUUUUAUUCAUCUUGAUGACAAGUAUUUCCGGACGGAGGGAGUACUUU